rnacentral:rRNA from 1 species
UUAAGCGACUAAGCGUACACGGUGGAUGCCCUGGCAGUCAGAGGCGAUGAAGGACGUGCUAAUCUGCGAAAAGCGUCGGUAAGGUGAUAUGAACCGUUACAGCCGGCGAUGUCCGAAUGGGGAAACCCAGUGCAAUUCGUUGCACUAUCGUUAACUGAAUACAUAGGUUAACGAGGCGAACCGGGGGAACUGAAACAUCUAAGUACCCCGAGGAAAAGAAAUCAACCGAGAUUCCCCCAGUAGCGGCGAGCGAACGGGGAGCAGCCCAGAGUCUGAAUCAGCUUGUGUGUUAGUGGAACGGUCUGGAAAGUCCGACGGUACAGGGUGAUAGUCCCGUACACCAAAAUGCACAGGCUGUGAACUCGAAGAGUAGGGCGGGACACGUGGUAUCCUGUCUGAAUAUGGGGGGACCAUCCUCCAAGGCUAAAUACUCCUGACUGACCGAUAGUGAACCAGUACCGUGAGGGAAAGGCGAAAAGAACCCCGGCGAGGGGAGUGAAAAAGAACCUGAAACCGUGUACGUACAAGCAGUGGGAGCACCUUCGGGUGUGACUGCGUACCUUUUGUAUAAUGGGUCAGCGACUUAUAUUCUGUAGCAAGGUUAACCGUAUAGGGGAGCCGCAGGGAAACCGAGUCUUAACUGGGCGUUAAGUUGCAGGGUAUAGACCCGAAACCCGGUGAUCUAGCCAUGGGCAGGUUGAAGGUUGGGUAACACUAACUGGAGGACCGAACCGACUAAUGUUGAAAAAUUAGCGGAUGACUUGUGGCUGGGGGUGAAAGGCCAAUCAAACCGGGAGAUAGCUGGUUCUCCCCGAAAGCUAUUUAGGUAGCGCCUCGUGAAYUCAUCUUCGGGGGUAGAGCACUGUUUCGGCUAGGGGGUCAUCCCGACUUACCAACCCGAUGCAAACUACGAAUACCGAAGAAUGUUAUCACGGGAGACACACGGCGGGUGCUAACGUCCGUCGUGAAGAGGGAAACAACCCAGACCGCCAGCUAAGGUCCCAAAGUCAUGGUUAAGUGGGAAACGAUGUGGGAAGGCACAGACAGCCAGGAUGUUGGCUUAGAAGCAGCCAUCAUUUAAAGAAAGCGUAAUAGCUCACUGGUCGAGUCGGCCUGCGCGGAAGAUGUAACGGGGCUAAACCAUGCACCGAAGCUGCGGCAGCGACACUAUGUGUUGUUGGGUAGGGGAGCGUUCUGUAAGCCUGCGAAGGUGACCUGUGAGGGUUGCUGGAGGUAUCAGAAGUGCGAAUGCUGACAUAAGUAACGAUAAAGCGGGUGAAAAGCCCGCUCGCCGGAAGACCAAGGGUUCCUGUCCAACGUUAAUCGGGGCAGGGUGAGUCGACCCCUAAGGCGAGGCCGAAAGGCGUAGUCGAUGGGAAACAGGUUAAUAUUCCUGUACUUGGUGUUACUGCGAAGGGGGGACGGAGAAGGCUAUGUUAGCCGGGCGACGGUUGUCCCGGUUUAAGCAUGUAGGCUGGUURUCCAGGCAAAUCCGGAUAAUCAAGGCUGAGGUGUGAUGACGAGGCACUACGGUGCUGAAGUAACAAAUGCCCUGCUUCCAGGAAAAGCCUCUAAGCAUCAGGUAACAUCAAAUCGUACCCCAAACCGACACAGGUGGUCAGGUAGAGAAUACCAAGGCGCUUGAGAGAACUCGGGUGAAGGAACUAGGCAAAAUGGUGCCGUAACUUCGGGAGAAGGCACGCUGGUGUGUAGGUGAAGUCCCUGCGGAUGGAGCUGAGACCAGUCGAAGAUACCAGCUGGCUGCAACUGUUUAUUAAAAACACAGCACUGUGCAAACACGAAAGUGGACGUAUACGGUGUGACGCCUGCCCGGUGCCGGAAGGUUAAUUGAUGGGGUUAUCCGUAAGGAGAAGCUCUUGAUCGAAGCCCCGGUAAACGGCGGCCGUAACUAUAACGGUCCUAAGGUAGCGAAAUUCCUUGUCGGGUAAGUUCCGACCUGCACGAAUGGCGUAAUGAUGGCCAGGCUGUCUCCACCCGAGACUCAGUGAAAUUGAACUCGCUGUGAAGAUGCAGUGUACCCGCGGCAAGACGGAAAGACCCCGUGAACCUUUACUAUAGCUUGACACUGAACAUUGAGCCUUGAUGUGUAGGAUAGGUGGGAGGCUUUGAAGCGUGGACGCCAGUCUGCGUGGAGCCAACCUUGAAAUACCACCCUUUAAUGUUUGAUGUUCUAACGUUGGCCCCUUAYCGGGGUUGCGGACAGUGUCUGGUGGGUAGUUUGACUGGGGCGGUCUCCUCCCAAAGCGUAACGGAGGAGCACGAAGGUUAGCUAAUCCUGGUCGGACAUCAGGAGGUUAGUGCAAUGGCAUAAGCUAGCUUGACUGCGAGCGUGACGGCGCGAGCAGGUGCGAAAGCAGGUCAUAGUGAUCCGGUGGUUCUGAAUGGAAGGGCCAUCGCUCAACGGAUAAAAGGUACUCCGGGGAUAACAGGCUGAUACCGCCCAAGAGUUCAUAUCGACGGCGGUGUUUGGCACCUCGAUGUCGGCUCAUCACAUCCUGGGGCUGAAGUAGGUCCCAAGGGUAUGGCUGUUCGCCAUUUAAAGUGGUACGCGAGCUGGGUUUAGAACGUCGUGAGACAGUUCGGUCCCUAUCUGCCGUGGGCGCUGGAGAAUUGAGGGGGGCUGCUCCUAGUACGAGAGGACCGGAGUGGACGCAUCACUGGUGUUCGGGUUGUCAUGCCAAUGGCACUGCCCGGUAGCUAAAUGCGGAAGAGAUAAGUGCUGAAAGCAUCUAAGCACGAAACUUGCCCCGAGAUGAGUUCUCCCUGAGACUUUAAGUCUCCUGAAG